rnacentral:rRNA from 1 species
GAUGAACGCUGGCGGCGUGCCUAAUACAUGCAAGUCGAGCGAACGGACGAGAAGCUUGCUUCUCUGAUGUUAGCGGCGGACGGGUGAGUAACACGUGGAUAACCUACCUAUAUGACUGGGAUAACUUCGGGAAACCGGAGCCAAUACCGGAUAAUAUUUUGAACCGCAUGGUUCAAAAGUGAAAGACGGUCUUGCUGUCACUUAUAGAUGGAUCCGCGCUGCAUUAGCUAGUUGGUAAGGUAACGGCUUACCAAGGCAACGAUGCAUAGCCGACCUGAGAGGGUGAUCGGCCACACUGGAACUGAGACACGGUCCAGACUCCUACGGGAGGCAGCAGUAGGGAAUCUUCCGCAAUGGGCGAAAGCCUGACGGAGCAACGCCGCGUGAGUGAUGAAGGUCUUCGGAUCGUAAAACUCUGUUAUUAGGGAAGAACAUAUGUGUAAGUAACUGUGCACAUCUUGACGGUACCUAAUCAGAAAGCCACGGCUAACUACGUG